ACUGUCUCCUCCCGAGACUCAGCGAAGUUGAAGUGGUUGUGAAGAUGCAAUCUACCCGCUGCUAGACGGAAAGACCCCGUGAACCUUUACUGUAGCUUUGCAUUGGACUUUGAAGGCACUUGUGUAGGAUAGGUGGGAGGCUUUGAAGCAGAGACGCCAGUCUCUGUGGAGCCGUCCUUGAAAUACCACCCUGGUGUCUUUGAGGUUCUAACCCAGACCCGUAAUCCGGGUCGGGGACCGUGCAUGGUAGGCAGUUUGACUGGGGCGGUCUCCUCCCAAAGAGUAACGGAGGAGUUCGAAGGUUACCUAGGUCCGGUCGGAAAUCGGACUGAUAGUGCAAUGGCAAAAGGUAGCUUAACUGCGAGACCGACAAGUCGAGCAGGUGCGAAAGCAGGACAUAGUGAUCCGGUGGUUCUGUAUGGAAGGGCCAUCGCUCAACGGAUAAAAGGUACUCCGGGGAUAACAGGCUGAUUCCGCCCAAGAGUUCAUAUCGACGGCGGAGUUUGGCACCUCGAUGUCGGCUCAUCACAUCCUGGGGCUGUAGUCGGUCCCAAGGGUAUGGCUGUUCGCCAUUUAAAGUGGUACGUGAGCUGGGUUUAAAACGUCGUGAGACAGUUUGGUCCCUAUCUGCAGUGGGCGUUGGAAGUUUGACGGGGGCUGCUCCUAGUACGAGAGGACCGGAGUGGACGAACCUCUGGUGUACCGGUUGUAACGCCAGUUGCAUAGCCGGGUAGCUAAGUUCGGAAGAGAUAAGCGCUGAAAGCAUCUAAGCGCGAAACUCGCCUGAAGAUGAGACUUCCCUUGUGGUUUAACCACACUAAAGAGUCGUUCGAGACCAGGACGUUGAUAGGUGGGGUGUGGAAGCGCGGUAACGCGUGAAGCUAACCCAUACUAAUUGCUCGUGAGGCUUGACUCU
rnacentral:rRNA from 1 species